AUGCGGGUUCUGCUGCUGUCAGCCGGUAUGUUGCUGCGCCGCCGGUCCUGCCUGUCCGGCCCGCUGCUGCUGCUUGGACUCGGACUCUGCCUCUACCAAACCCUGAUGCUGGCCUGGAACCGGGUCCGGUCCGGACAGCGUGGACGCAGCAGAGAGCCGGUCCAAAGAGUCGCGGUGGAUGAGGAGACGCGGAGGAUCCUGUCCGUCCUGGAGGCUGCUCAGGUCCAGUCUCAGUCACUUCCUGUCCAGCGUUGGGCCGUGGUCCUGUUGGGUCAACAUUUGGUGUCAGACACAGAGGUCCAGUUGUAUCAGCGGGUUCUGCAGCAAAUGGAGUUUGAGGUUCUGCUCUCCAGAUCCACAGACACCAGCAGCUUCCUGGGGAGCAACCAUGGUGUCAGUGGGUGGAGCUUGUUGAUAUGUCUCAGUCGUUCUGAAAGAAGCUGUCUGAGGAGGAUCUCCCUGUCUUACCUCCACCGUCACCAGAUCGUUAAUUUAUUGCCCGGGCUGAUGGCAGCGUUCUCUGAUGCAGGUGGAGGUCUCUGUCACAUGUUCACAGGCUCCCCGCUGUCAGGAUCUCAGUUAAACAUGAGGCCGUUCUCCUGUGGACUGACCAAUCGGACGCUACUGUUUGGGGUCAACAGCCAAUCAGCUGUUGGAGCGUUGCCUCCCGCUCUCGUAGUCUCGGUUUACGUCCUGGUGACCUCAGUCAACCCGCUCACUUCUUUCCUGCACGAGACGAGUGUGACGAUGACACACCUGGAGCAGAAUGGGCGGGUCACGCAGCUCAGGGACUUCCUGCAGAGGCAGCUCGGACAGAUCAAAGCCCAUCAGGCUUUGGGGGAGGUUAAGGCGGUGAUCAGCCAUGCGCUGCAGGCGGCUGUGUCGUCCAAUCAGAAGCAAGGAGCACGCCGCAGGUAAGAUUUAGCUCUCUGACACAUCAGCUGUCCUCCUCAAUCCACUAUUGAUUGGU
rnacentral:lncRNA from 1 species